rnacentral:rRNA from 1 species
GAUCCUGGCUCAGAAUGAACGCUGGCGGCGUGCCUAACACAUGCAAGUCGGAUGUGCCAGCAAUGGUGCAUGGCAGACGGGUGAGUAACGCGUGGGGAAUCUACCUUUUUGUGGGGAAUAACGUUCCGAAAGGAAUGGUAAUACCGCAUGUGAUCACAGUUUGGGAUAACUGUGAUGAAAGCCGGGGACCGCAAGGCCUGGCGCAAGAAGAGGAUCCUGCGUCUGAUUAGCUAGUUGGCGGGGUAAUGGCCCACCAAGGCGACGAUCUGUAGCCGGCCUGAGAGGGUGAUCGGCCACACUGGAACUGAGACACGGUCCAGACUCCUACGGGAGGCAGCAGUGGGGAAUUUUGCGCAAUGGACGAAAAGUCUGACGCAGCAACGCCGCGUGGGUGAUGAAGGUCUUCGGAUCGUAAAACCCUGUCGUCAGGGACGAAGGUAAUGUGCCUAAUACGCAUGUUGCUUGACGGUACCUGGAGAGGAAGCCCCGGCUAACU